rnacentral:rRNA from 1 species
GAUGAACGCUGGCGGCGUGCCUAAUACAUGCAAGUCGAGCGAACAGACGAGGAGCUUGCUCCUCUGACGUUAGCGGCGGACGGGUGAGUAACACGUGGAUAACCUACCUAUAAGACUGGGAUAACUUCGGGAAACCGGAGCUAAUACCGGAUAAUAUAUUGAACCGCAUGGUUCAAUAGUGAAAGACGGCUUUGCUGUCACUUAUAGAUGGAUCCGCGCCGCAUUAGCUAGUUGGUAAGGUAACGGCUUACCAAGGCGACGAUGCGUAGCCGACCUGAGAGGGUGAUCGGCCACACUGGAACUGAGACACGGUCCAGACUCCUACGGGAGGCAGCAGUAGGGAAUCUUCCGCAAUGGGCGAAAGCCUGACGGAGCAACGCCGCGUGAGUGAUGAAGGUCUUCGGACCGUAAAACUCUGUUAUUAGGGAAGAACAAAUGUGUAAGUAACUAUGCACGUCUUGACGGUACCUAAUCAGAAAGCCACGGCUAACUACGUG